CCCUUAGAUGUCCGGGGCUGCACGCGCGCUACACUGAAGGAAUCAGCGUGCUAAAACCAUUGUCGAAAGGCAUUGGUAAACCCAUUAAAAUCCUACGUGAUUGGGAUCGGGAAUUGCAAUUAUUUCCCUUGAACGAGGAAUUCCCAGUAAGUGUGGGUCAUAAGCUCGCGUUGAUUACGUCCCUGCCCUUUGUACACACCGCCCGUCGCUGCCCGGGACUGAGCCGUUUCGAGAAAAGCGGGGACUGCUGCUGUCGGGGCUUUCGGGCCUUGGCUUCGGUGGAAACCGCUUUAAUCGCAGUGGCUUGAACCGGACAAAAGUCGUAACA
rnacentral:rRNA from 1 species